rnacentral:rRNA from 1 species
UACGUAGGGGCUAGCGUUGUCCGGAAUCAUUGGGCGUAAAGAGCGUGUAGGCGGCCCGGUAAGUCCGCUGUAAAAGUCAAAGGCUCAACCUUUGAAUGUCAGUGGAUACUGCCGGGCUAGAGUCCGGAAGAGGCGAGUGGAACUCCUGGUGUAGCGGUGGAAUGCGCAGAUAUCAGGAAGAACACCAACGGCGAAGGCAGCUCGCUAGGACGGUACUGACGCUGAGACGCGAAGCGUGGGGAGCGAACAGG